GGCGGGCGCUCGCUCCCUCGCGCUCCUCACAGACUUGUGGGGAGCUAGCGCGGCCGAGGCGGGACGCGGGCGAGCGCGCCCCCGAGGGAAGCCGCUGGGUUCUCGGUCCCCGUCAGGCACGCGGUAGCGUUACCUGCCGCCCGCGCGCGCGGUCGGGAGCCACGUUCCGGCUCCCUGAGGGGCCUGCGCACUUCUCACGGCCAGACCGACGGACGCCACGGCGCAGCCACGUGUCCACGUGCGACCGGAUAGUGUCCACGUGAGAUGAUGUAGAGAGAAGGUCCUUGCCAGAUGAUGGUGCCCUGAUACUGAAUUUCCUGGCCUUCUAGAACCUUGCUCUAGUGGCUGUUCAGGACAAAAUGAGAAGCUGUGCCUGAGGGAGGAGUCAGCCAUGUCACAGUGUGCCAGGGCUUGGCUACUCUGGAACACACCAGAUUACCACCUCCUGCAGGAGAUGAAUUGCCAUCCUCUGUGCAAAUGUGCGGUGGCUUUGAGGUCAUUCAGUUUAACUUGAGAUGCUUCAAAAGGCACAAGGUACUGAAAGAAGGAAGGUGUUCUCAGCAGGAAGAGGGCAAGUUGGGAAAAUAAGCCUGUGUUGCUCCCAGAAUCCUCUAGGUGGUGCUGCUGUGACAGCUAUUAGUGGGAUUUUUUUAGCGUAAUGAUCACACCAAAUAUUUAACUUUAAGUGUUUUAUACUUAUAGUUAAUUGUUAAGAUAAUACUAUUGAUAAUAUAUACACCACAUUUACAUUAGAGCCUUAUAAGAACUAGCCUGCAGCCACAAGUUACAUGACAAAGCAAAUUUCAAGGUUUAGAAUACAUGUACUUCCUGGUUAGCAGUUAAUUAUAUUAAGUCGCAUGUGGGUAAAGUUUGCCACAUACAUAAAAAUCAACACUAUGAUGAACUCUCCCUUACCUGUACCAAGUGAGACAAAGCAGUGCUCUGUUCACAGGUGCCAAAUGAA